ensembl:lncRNA
AAAUUGAGCAAUAAAUGAUAGGAGCCAGUGGGGAGCAUCCUUCCUCCAGGGCUGCAGAACCCAAACUACAUUGGCUCAGUUGUGCACACAGCCUGGAUUCACACUGUGGAGAGUUGAACUAGAUGGCCUUCAGAAGUCCUUUCCAACUCCAAGGAUUCUAAACAGAAGAACCAAGUCACAGAAAACAGCCCAGUGCAGGGGAUGCCAGCUGGGCAGGACCAUAGUCACUGGGCAGCCCAGUGCCUUCAGAGUCUGUGGUGCUAAGAAACCCUCUACUCACUGGAAUAUUCCUGGAAACGUGGUGGUGUUUAUAAAAUGCAAAGCAUGGCUGAGAUUUCCUGGAAUGAGAGGAGCAAGUGCGUGUUUGGAGAACAAGCAGUGCUUCCCUCCUUCCAUAUAUAAACGCAAAUAGCUUGUGACCUUGAGAAAGGCAAUUCAACAGGAGAACUGAAGAUAUAUAAAACCCUUUUAAUCUUAACAGAAAAAGUUGCAUUAUGGAGAAUGAACAAAAAUGUUCUUUCCAUAGCAAGAGCUUCUAUAUUAUUUACAUAUUUUGGUUUAAACAAUGAACAUGUUGCUUUCUUAUUUUGAGACAAGAUGCAGAAUUCAGAAUUUUUACUAUGGUGAUCAGAAACAGUUAAAAUUCAGCAAAAAAGUGCAGAAGACUGAUUUUUUUCCCCCACUGAGAGAACUCUACAUCCCAGCACUUCACUGGAGGCUGCUAACCCUUCAGACAGUCCCACAGCCAGAGUAACACCUGCUCCUCAUCUGCUGGAAGGGGCACUUCAAAAGCUCUCAGAUAUUGGUUCUGGAUGCUGGGGUACAAGUAACCAAAGAGCACAAGGAAAUCACCCGCACCUUCAGGACCUUUGCACCCUGCAGGGGGCCAAGGCACUUCAGGGCUCCUCUCUCCACUCAUUGCUUCCCUGGCAGCUGGAGAAGCCAAGGAGAGUCACAGGGAGCUACGUGGAACCCUCUCCCAAAGGGAGCUACAUGCAGCAUCUCUCCAGCCUACAUGCAUCAAAUCCUGUGAGCUGAACCUAACACUCUUGUACAGGGCGAACUGUGUGCUCAAGAGCAAGGCCUUAUGCAGGCAGGAUGUGGAGUCAGGUAGUCAAGUAGAAAAAGGUGGACCAUACAGGAUUAGCACAAAAGAGAUUGAGUUGAGGUAACAGGGAUCCUCGUGAGAACCAGCAGAGUCAGAUCUGGCAUGUCCAGUUCAGCGUGGUUACAAGAGAGGGAGAAGAGGCCAGAGAAGUCCCAUUUUUAAUCUCACAGGUUUUAUAGGAUUUUAGGCAAUAUCCAUGGGAUUUCACUGAUCAGAAAGAAUUUUUACAUCUGAUUGCCACAGUUUGAGAGUGUCCUGCUCAAAUCUCAUCAGACCUCUGUGUUCAGAAGUCUGAUCACUUUCUGCAAGCAGAUGAACUUCAGCAAAAUGAGAUGGAACAAACAUGUCAGCUAAUGGACAAUGGAGCCAGGAGUCUUAGCAGUAAUCAAAGAAGUGCUGUGAAAGUGACAUACCCCUCUCAGUAUUAUAGAUCAGCUUUUACUGAACUCAGCAGAGCUGUCUCUAGCUUCAACUCCACUGAUUUCUGCAGAGCUAUCACUACUUUAAGUGAAAGUGUACCAUUCAGUGAAGGUGAAAUAAGUGCAAUUCCAAAGGGAAAGGCUGUGCAGACACUUCGCUCAGCAGCACAGCUCCUGCCCCACAGACUGCACACUGCUUGGCCCCACUGGAUGCAGGACUCAGCCUACCAGCUGGGCCUACCAUGUCUGGCAAACAUGGUUCAGCAUACUGGUAAUGGAAAGCAAAGCUGCCCGUUACAUGUUCUCUGCUGUGCUGUAGAUGCAGAAAAAUGAACAUACAAAAUAAGAUCACUAUC